CAAUAGCGUAUAUUAAAGUUGUUGCAGUUAAAAGCUCGUAGUUGGACUUCUGAUGUGGAGGGACGGUCCGCCUCACGGUGAGCACUGAUUCUCUGCGUCUUCCUCUCGUAGUCUUUUGGCGCACUUAGUUGGGUGCCUUGAGAAUAUGGGACCUUUACUUUGAAAAAUUGAGUGUUCAAAGCAGGCAAUCGCUUGAAUACAUUAGCAUGGAAUAAUAGAAUAGGACUUUGGUCUAUUUUGUGGUUUCUAGAACCGAAGUAAUGAUUAAUAGGGACAGUUGGGGGCAUUAGUAUUUAAUUGUCAGAGGUGAAAUUCUUGGAUUUAUGAAAGACUUAACUACUGCGAAAGCAUUUAGCCAAAGGAUGUUUUUCAUUAAUUCAAGACGAAAGUUAGGGGAUCGAAGACGAUCAGAUACCAU
rnacentral:rRNA from 1 species